rnacentral:rRNA from 1 species
AGUCACUGACAUUAGAUACCCCAGUAGUCCAGGGUGUAAACGCUGCAGACUUGGUGUUGGAGGCCCUUUGGGGGCAUUCAGUGCCGGAGAGAAGUUGUUAAGUCUGCUACUUGGGAGUACGUCCGCAAGGAUGAAACUUAAAGGAAUUGGCGGGGGAGCACCGCAACGGGAGGAGCGUGCGGUUUAAUUGGAUUCAACACCGUAAACUCACCAGGGAAGACUGUUACAUGAAGGCCGAGAUGAAGACUCUGCUAGAUUUUCAG